rnacentral:lncRNA from 1 species
AUGGCCUCCCCUCCACCUCCUCCUGCCUUGUGGGGUGGAAACGGAGAGCUGCAGGGCAGAGCAUGGGGGACACCCGUGGGGAACCCAUGGGGGUCCCCACGGGUGUCCCCCCCACACCCCCACACCAUCAGCAUGAGCUCCCCUCCGCAAACUGCCCCUUUGGCAGCACCACGGCUCAGGAGGAAGCGCAAUGGUUUCUCUCCAGCACGCCAUCCAGCAGCGCUCAUCCUCCCGUCCUCCUGCUCUUCCUCAUCCUCCUCCUCCUCCUUUUCCUUCUCCUCCUCCUCCUCCUCCUCGUCUCCCCUGCCCUUUCCAGCCAGGCUCUCCCACACCGGCGCGACCCCGUGCGUGGAAAGCACCACAAAGCACGUCUCCGCAUCUGUUCCGCAUUUGCUGUUCUUUUCAAGUUCGUUCCUUGGCCCCCUCCCCUCCUCUCAGCGGGGCCUGAAAAUAGGAACUGUGGUCACCUUCCUGCUGCAUUAUUCAGGAGUUUCUGUACCUCGACCAGCCGCAGCUGGCCGCUCUCCAAGCCCAUCGACAACCUCCGAGGCCGCCAGGCUCCCCAGCCUCUCCUUCUCACCCUCACCCUGCACCUUGUGCCGUAAAACCGCGCUUUGCAAACGCAGAAAACGAGCAGAAAAUGAGUGCAGCCUUCAGCAGGAGCAUCGUGGCGGGGACAGGGACAGGGACAGGGACGAGGAGCCCCUUCCAAGCUCGUUUUUGCUGUCCUUUGGCUCUGGGGUUGCAGCUCGGCACGCUCGGCAGGAGCACGUGCGGGAUGCGCUCAAGGGCAUCCAGGAGCACUUUGAAGCCGCACAACGAGGAGAUGUUGAACGUGUUCGGGAUGCUCCCGGGUCCCCCCGGGCACAUGAAGGCUCUUGCCAGCCCCGCUGCAGGUUAAUAGCUCUGCUCGCAGGCAGGCCGCCGGCUGGGAAGCGGAGCUCCCUCGGAUGCGCCGCGUUUCGUACAAAGGAGGUGGGCUGUGCCUUUCCCUCCCACCCCGCUGCUCACCCUCUGCUCCGCUGA